UUGUAUUAAAUUGCAAAUAUUUGCUCAAAUCCAUUAUAUUUCUGUAGAAAUUAAUUAAACAUUUUAAAAUGUCUGUUGUAAAUAAUCUUAACAUGAACAUUAAAGAGUUGAGUUCAUGUUCAGUUUAUAAUCUCAUUCAGGUGGUUAUUGCAACAUUGACAUACUUUUGCUACCUGGUGGUAAUAAUAGAAACAAAUAGUAAUUUAUAUUCCAGAAAACGUAGUGAUACAUUUAAAUAAGACAAGUAAAUUAUGCUAAAUUAUACAGACGCAUUUCAUUUUACUAUAGAUAAUUGGUUGUAGAUAGAUGCUAGCUGAGGAAUAUAAUGUUACUGUUAGCAUCAAGGACAGACUUAGUUAUAUUAAUAAAUAAAGAAAACUUUUAAUUAAUUAUUUCUUAUUAUGAUAAUAUGAGUAACAGGGUUGCGUUGGUGAGAGUGACACACUCCGUGAAGGCUUAAAAGAUUGGCAAAAUAUGAAAGCUAGAAGAGAGAACUUACCUUUGGUCUGCCCAUAGUGUCAGUAUAUGACUUGAUGAUGUCACUUCCUCUGUGUCAGGUGACUCAGCGUUUUUCUUCUUCUUCUGCCAUUCUAAAUAGGUUUCGGUAACAGGGUUGCGCGCAUGUUGUGGGACACAACUUCAAUGCAUCAUUACUAUUAUUUAAAAUAUGUUGAUGAUUAAAUUAAUUGUUUUAACGAUUACAAGAGACACAUAUCAACAAUAUCAUACAAAAAAAGGGUAUUUAAAGGGUUUUUUAAUGGUUAUAUUUGAUGUGGAAGUUUGUCAUCAAGAAGGUGGGACAAAAGAAAAAUAUCAUUUUGGGGGUGCUUGAGAUCUAUUUGGUAUUUUGAACAAUAUUUUGGAACACAUUUUCCUACAACUAUAUUUACAUUUAGUCUCAGAACAAGUAUAAUUUACACAACAAGUGCAUGAGUUAGUCUUUUGUGCUUAGAUUAUUUGAAAUUUUAGGGGUGGGACAGCAAAUGUCCUCCAAUUCUGGAAUGUCCCAGGCAUUGUAAUGAACCGUCGUGGUGAAGAGGGAGCUGAGCUGUAAAGUGAAGCUCUCGAUUUACCAGUCCAUCUACGUUCCAACCCUCACCUAUGGUCAUGAGCUUUGGGUAGUGGCCGAAAGAACAAGAUCGCAGAUACAAGCGGCCGAAAUGAGCUUCCUCUGUAGGGUGGCUGGACUCAGCCUUAUAGAUAGGGUGAGGAGCUCAGACAUCCGGAGGGAGCUCGGAGUAGAGUCACUGCUCCUUCGUGUUGAAAGGAGCCAGUUGAGGUGGUUUGGCCAUCUGAUUCGGAUCCCUCCAGGGAGACUUCCUUUGGAGGUUUUCCGAGCACGUCCGUCUGGGAGGAGACCCUGGGGCAGACCCAGAACUCGCUGGAGGGAUUAUGUAUCUUGCCUGGCCUGGGAACGCCUCGGGAUCCCCCAGGAAGAGAUGGAAAGCGUCGCUGGGGGGAGGGAUGUCUGGAACGACCUGCUUCACCUGCUACCUUCGCGACCCGGGCCUGGAUAAGCGGAUGAAAAUGGAUGGAUGGAUGGAUAUAUAUUCAAUGUUCCUUCCUCAGAAGUGACAUCCGACGGGUUGAUGACGUGUCUUUUAUCAGGCGACUGGGUCUGAAGUCCGAUCUUCAGGAACACCUCAGCAGCGCCUCAGGUUGAUCACCUCCAUGGCACAUCGCACUGAUGCAGUAAUUCUUGGUGAAGGAGCCCCAAAUCAAGAAAGCAUGUUAGGUUCUGUGGUUUGUCGACAAUAAAAGGAUUCUUGAGACAGUCUGACCUGUAACUGGUGCUAUAUAAAUAAAACUGAAUUGAAUUAAAUCCUG